ACUUUCUUGUAAAAAACUACUAAAAUUACAAGAGUGGCUUUAAAAAAAAAACAUUUUGUGGUAAUGCUAGCAUAGUAAGAACAAGAAGUAGAUUAAAUGCACCUUUACUGAGUUGACAAGGAUGGACCUCUUAAUGUUUGAUAUCAUGUCUGAAAGAUAUGGUGCAAACAUU